AUUGAACGCUGGCGGCAUGCCUUACACAUGCAAGUCGAACGGUAACAGGUCUUCGGAUGCUGACGAGUGGCGAACGGGUGAGUAAUACAUCGGAACGUGCCCGAUCGUGGGGGAUAACGAGGCGAAAGCUUUGCUAAUACCGCAUACGAUCUACGGAUGACAGCGGGGGAUCUUCGGACCUCGCGCGGACGGAGCGGCCGAUGGCAGAUUAGGUAGUUGGUGGGAUAAAAGCUUACCAAGCCGACGAUCUGUAGCUGGUCUGAGAGGAUGAUCAGCCACACUGGGACUGAGACACGGCCCAGACUCCUACGGGAGGCAGCAGUGGGGAAUUUUGGACAAUGGGCGAAAGCCUGAUCCAGCCAUGCCGCGUGCAGGAUGAAGGCCUUCGGGUUGUAAACUGCUUUUGUACGGAACGAAAAGCCUCUUUCUAAUAAAGAGAGGUCAUGACGGUACCGGAAGAAUAAGCACCGGCUAACUACGUG
rnacentral:rRNA from 1 species